rnacentral:rRNA from 1 species
UAACAAUUUAAAUUUAUAAAUUAAAGUAUUAAUAGUUAUGUUCUUUAAAUUUAAAAAAUUUGGCGGUAUUUUAGUCUAUUCAGAGGAACCUGUUAUGUAAUUGAUAAUCCACGAUUAGAAAUACUUAAUUUAUAAAUUUGUAUAUCGUUGUUUAAAUAAUUUUAUAAGAAUAUUAAUUAUUAAUUUAUUUAAUUAAAUAAGUAAUCAAAUCAAGGUGCAGUUUAUAGUUAAGAAUAAAUGGGUUACAAUAAAAUUUAUUUUUGGAUUAUAUUAUUAAAUUAAUAUAUGAAAUUGGAUUUGAUAGUAAAUAUAUAUAUAUAUAUAUGUUGAUUUAAGCUCUAAA